CUUCCGUUGUUUUUCUUCUCUCAUUCUCUCUCUCUCUCGCUCGCUCUACCACCCUCGCUCUCUUUCCACUGCACUCGCUCCUUGUAUCAGGUGAUCGGGUUAAUUGGGAACCCACCUGCACAUUGAUUGCAGGGUGGCGCUAGCCUGUAUAAAGCUAAGCCGAUGUCUUGUUGGAUUAAUUCCUCCCGAGCUUCUGGUACGAUACAGCCGUAAAUGCUGGCGUACUGCGACGGACUGAUCAGCAAGAGCCGAUUAUACGACAGCUACAGCGCAGCAGUCCGUUUAAUUCUGCCAUUGCGGAGAGAGGUGUUCGUGGUAUCUCCACCAAUGAGAGUAUAGUGCCUCCGGUCCUGGGGGUUCACUGCUGUACUCACCUCUCCAUGGUAAAUUGUCCAACCUAAAUUGGAAGAGUGGACUGCCUUCUCAGUUGCUGUUGUGAACUCCUCCUUGGUGGAGUCUGCU